UACGUAGGGUGCAAGCGUUGUCCGGAAUUAUUGGGCGUAAAGAGCUCGUAGGCGGUCUGUCGCGUCGGAUGUGAAAACCCAGGGCUCCAACCCUGGGCCUGCAUUCGGAUACGGGCAGACUAGAGUUCGGCAGGGGAGACGUGGAAAUUCCUGGUGUAGCGGUGAAAUGCGCAGAUAUCAGGAGGAACACCGGUGGCGAAGGCGGGUCUCUGGGCCGAUACUGACGCUGAGGAGCGAAAGCGUGGGGAGCGAACAGG
rnacentral:rRNA from 1 species